rnacentral:rRNA from 1 species
CCUACGGGUCGCAGCAGUGGGGAAUAUUGGACAAUGGGCGAAAGCCUGAUCCAGCAAUGCCGCGUGUGUGGAGAAGGUCUUCGGAUUGUAAAGCACUUUCGACGGGGACGAUGAUGACGGUACCCGUAGAAGAAGCCCCGGCUAACUUCGUGCCAGCAGCCGCGGUAAUACGAAGGCGGUUAGCGUUGCUCGGAAUGACUGGGCGUAAAGGGCGCGUAGGCGGUUUAUGCAGUCAGAUGUGAAAUCCCCGGGCUUAACCUGGGAACUGCAUUUGAGACGCAUAGACUAGAGGUCGAGAGAGGCGUGUGGAAUUCCCAGUGUAGAGGUGAAAUUCGUAGAUAUUGGGAAGAACACCGGUGGCGAAGGCGGCAACCUGGCUCGAUACUGACGCUGAGGCGCGAAAGCGUGGGGAGCAAAUAGGAUUAGAUACCCCUGUAGUC